GCUUUGCAAAAACGAAAGCACGCAAACCAAAAACCAAAAACGCUGCAUCCAGUUUUCACAAUGGAAGUUCUUCAGGCCUCUAGGGGGAGCGCUAAGUGAGAGCGCUAAGUGGAACAGCUUGAUUUUCGGCCCCACGGAGCGAGAGAGAGAGAGAAGAAGAAGAAGCAUAUGAGAAGUUUGGACAAACGUCAAAGAGGCGACAUAAAAAGACUUCCAUGUUGUGUCCCUUCUGUGGCCAACAUCAGAGCACUGUUCAAGUGUACUGUGGCUCAUGUGGCAAAAAUGUACAGUUUUUGGCACAAGCUGAAGACAACAGGUCAGCAUCAGACAGCCCCACAGAAGAGGAUCUGAUUAAAAAGUAUUUCCAUGAUGGCUACAGCUACGAUGACAUUUUGGAUUUCCUGGCAACGACUCACAAUGUUAAAAUGAAAGUAAAUUGAAAAGUUAUUCAUUGUCCAGGCAAAAACAUUUCUCUCCUCUUACUUCUAUACGUGCUGCCAUACAAGAAGAGCUGAAGGGGCCAGGCCAGCAUUAUGGCUACCGUACCAUGUGGCAGACAUUGCGCCAAAAGUACUCUCUCACAGUGAGAAGGGAUGAUGUCAUGGCUUUGAUGGGAGAGCUUGAUCCCUCAGGAGUUCAACUUCGUGCAAGACGAAGAUUUGUAAGAAGAGUUUACAACUCCUGUGGACCAAACCAUGUCUGGCAUGUUGAUGGUUAUGACAAAUUAAAACCAUAUGGUUUGGCCAUUAGUGGCUGUAUAGAUGGCUACUCCCGCAAAGUAAUGUGAUUGGUGUGUGGAGCAAGCAACAAUGAUCCUGGGGUCAUUGCUCAAAACUAUCUGCAUUGCGUCUCAGAAUGUGGUAUCAUACCAAUGCAGCUUCGCACAGACUGUGGUACAGAAAAUGGCACAAUGGCAGCAAUCCAGUGUGCCUUAAGAUCAACACACACAGAUGGUUUUGCUGGGGCUGCCAGUCAUAUGUAUGGCUCCUCAACCGCAAACCAACGGAUCAAAAACUGGUGGUCAUACUUCCAAAAAC